ACUGGUUGUAUUGAACGAGAUGAGGUGAGCACUGCAAAAACCUUCCUUGACCACUCUUUCUUUUACAUUCACUAAAAUUAUGCACAUAUAACUUUCUAUCUUCUACUUUUUCUAAUAGAUAGUUGUGAACUUCAAUUUCAUGAAGCUGAGAAGUUUAUUUUAACUCAUAAGAACUCCACUAAACACACAAUUUCACACUGUAGAGCUAACAGUAUACUUUUGGUAACUUGUACCAUCAGAGAAUUAUAAGGAAAUUGGCAA
rnacentral:misc_RNA from 1 species